AGAGCGAACGCUGGCGGCAUGCUUAACACAUGCAAGUCGCACGGUUUGGGGCUUCGGCUCCGGGCAGUGGCGGACGGGUGAGUAACGCGUAGGGAUCUAUCCAAGGGUGGGGGACAACCGCGGGAAACUGCGGCUAAUACCGCAUGACGACUUUGACUGAGAGGUUGGGGUCCAAAGCUUUCACGAGCGCCUAUGGAGGAGCCUGCGUCCGAUUAGCUUGUUGGUGGGUAAUGGCCUACCAAGGCACGAUCGGUAGC
rnacentral:rRNA from 1 species